rnacentral:rRNA from 1 species
GAGCUCUGAUGCUACUGCACCACAUGUGUUUUUCUUUGAAACAAACUUGCUUUGGCGGUGGGCCCAGCCUGCCGCCAGAGGUCUAAACUUACAACCAAUUUUUUAUCAACUUGUCACACCAGAUUAUUACUAAUAGUCAAAACUUUCAACAACGGAUCUCUUGGUUCUCGCAUCGAUGAAGAACGCAGCGAAAUGCGAUACGUAAUAUGAAUUGCAGAUAUUCGUGAAUCAUCGAAUCUUUGAACGCACAUUGCGCCCUCUGGUAUUCCGGAGGGCAUGCCUGUUUGAGCGUCGUUUCUCCCUCAAACCGCUGGGUUUGGUGUUGAGCAAUACGACUUGGGUUUGCUUGAAAGACGGUAGUGGUAAGGCGGGAUCGCUUUGACAAUGGCUUAGGUCUAACCAAAAACAUUGCUUGCGGCGGUAACGUCUACCACGUAUAUCUUCAAACUUUGACCUCAAAUCAGGUAGGACUACCCGCUGAACUUAAGCAUAUCAAUAAGCGGAGGAA